rnacentral:rRNA from 1 species
UACGGAGGGUGCAAGCGUUAUCCGGAUUCACUUGGGUUUAAAAGGGUGCGUAGGCGGGGUUGGUAAGUCCGUGGUGAAAAUUCUCCGAGCUUAACUCCGGAAACUGCCGUGGAUACUAUCAAUCUUGAAUAUCGGUGGAGGUAAGCGGAAUAUGUCAUGUAGCGGUGAAAUGCUUAGAUAUGACAUAGAACACCAAUUGCGUAGGCAGCUUACUACACGAAUCAUUGACGCUGAGGCACGAAAGCGUGGGGAGCAAA